AUUGAACGCUGGCGGCAUGCUUUACACAUGCAAGUCGAACGGUAAAAGGCCGCAAGGUGCUGACGAGUGGCGAACGGGUGAGUAAUGCAUCGGAACGCGCCCAGUCGUGGGGGAUAACGCAGCGAAAGCUGCGCUAAUACCGCAUACGAUCUAUGGAUGAAAGCGGGGGACCGAAAGGCCUCGCGCGAUUGGAGCGGCCGAUGUCAGAUUAGGUAGUUGGUGGGGUAAAGGCCCACCAAGCAAACGAUCUGUAGCUGGUCUGCGAGGACGACCAGCCACACUGGGACUAAGAGACGGCGCAGGCGCCGGAGGAAGGCUGCAGGCGAGAAUGUUCGGCAAUGUGCGCAAGGCUGACCUAGCGACGCGGCGUGCGGCAUGAAGGCAGUCGAGUUGUAGACCGCUGACGAGGGGAAUGAGGUGUAGGUGGGUACUCCCAUCUAUUUGACAGGUGCCUGGAGGAAGCAUGGGCUAAGUUCGUGCCAGCAGCCGCCGUAACAC
rnacentral:rRNA from 1 species